CAGACCGAGCGAGCUCGUAACAGCCCGGCCCCCGGGGAAAGCUCCCCUAUAUUAAAGCUGUAAAUCACCGAUGGGCUUUGGGGGGAGCACUCGGGCUUUCCGGGGGGCUGGGAAGGGGCCAAGUCAUUCUGGGAACGAGGCAGAUCCGAGCAACAAAAGGCACCGGGCUGCCCAUCCCACUGGUGGUUCUUCACUGGGAGCCAGAGACAGAAAAAAAGGGCUCAGUGUGUUUGACCUUUCUGCAUCCUCCCAUUACUCAGCUGGGGCCGGGCACCCAGGCCCUUCUCAGGGUUUGUUAGGUGAUUUAUUGACAGGCCGGCUUCGGAGAAGAGCCGAGGAAACGUCUCUCCCUCCUUAGAGAAUCCCAAGAAUUCUAUUAAAACUCCAAGUCACACCUAAUCAUUAUUAACCCUCUCAAACCCAGGGGAUCUGGGAGCUUUCGGCCCUGAAGCAUCCUCACUCCAAGUCAUUUUUUUUUUUUAAAUAACAGCAGGAGGGACUAGACUAAGUAUGGAGAAGGCAACAAGAGGCUUAAGCCUCCAAAAGAGCGCUGGUCCGCUGGUCUGCAAUAGCACCAAGCUUCUGCUCUCUAUAGAAGGAGAUUCAGGGCCGGAAGGGACACUGGGAAGUGAGAAAAUCCCACAGGCCUUAGCUGAUCUGUCCCAGGUGACAAAGUUCUGGCUGCAUAUUUAUGAAGCUGACAUUCUACUGUUCUUGCUCUCCUGUUAUUAAAUGCACAUUUACCGGACCAAGGUCACCCAGCUAGGGAGUGGAUUCCCAUCUCCCUCUCACUUGCAAUCCAAGUUCUCCAGCUCAGGAACCAUCGGAUAGUUAAACAAAAGCACCUUUUCCACUUGGCUCUUUCACUUAGCAAGAAUAAACAACGUGUUUGCCCGUGAUCUUCAUUCAGUGACAUGAUGUUAAAGCAAAAACAAAAAGUCUCUGUCUCUCUAUCUCUGUCACACCAGCUUCCCGGCCUCCACAUCCCCUGCCCAGCUCACCGGCCAACGCAGGAGCUCUUUCUUUGACCAGUUCCUUCCCUCCCCUCCUCUCCUGCGCUGCCCUUGUAACCUUUGCUUCUGGCACAAUUCCUCUAUGACAUAACCAAGUCCCCAAAUCCCAGACCCCUAAAAGAAGCCUCAGAAGCACCUAAUUCAAUCCACCUGGACAAGAAGCCACCUCCCCAACAGCUUGGCCAAGUCAACGGAACCUUGGUUGGCAGAGGGGGAAAUGGUGCCUUCCUGGGGCAGGAAUUCUGCCGCUGGCUCUCUCCAAGAGCCAAACAAAUCCCUCUCCCACGGGCCAACCGUCAAACAUCCGGAGGGUCAUAAGCUUGUUCCCCACUCGCCUUCUCUUCCCCACCAGGAUGAGUGUCCUCCGUUCUCUCGGGCGUCCCCAUUCCAUCACCAGACUAUCUCCAGAGUCCAAGCCCUUCUCUCCACUGCCAUCACACCCUCCCUAGAUCAGGUCCCUCGGGAGUCAGGGUGGGGUGGUCCCACUAACCCUAGAAGGUUUGACCACAACAAUUCUUGCCUCCCACCCGGUCCCUGCCCCUCAAAUCUCUCCCCACCCAAACUAUCCCCCACUCAGAGGCCAAAUGAACUUUCCUAAAACCAUUCCUCAAGGUCUAACAACAUCAUUCCCCAAAGACUAAAGUCCAAGGGCAGUUACCUCCAGAAUCAAAUACCAACAAUUGGUGACAUCUGCUAGGUGGGAAAAUGGUCAGAGAGCUGGACUCCAGUUUCCUGAGGUAUUUGCCAUAUUUAGAAAAGUCCUAGUAACAAAUUCAGAAAUAGUCCUUAAA